ensembl:miRNA
AGGAGGGAGGAGAUGGGCCAAGUUCCCUCUGCCUGGAACGCCCUUCCCCCCCUUCUUCA